rnacentral:rRNA from 1 species
GACGAACGCUGUCGGCGUGCUUAACACAUGCAAGUCGAACGGAAAGGCCCUGCUUGCAGGGUUCUCGAGUGGCGAACGGGUGAGUAACACGUGGAUGCUCUUCCCUCCAUUUCGGCAUAAUCCUGGGAAACUGGGUCUAUUACCCGACAUGAGCCAUUUUUACUGUUAUGGUUUGAAAGUUUUUUCGGUGUGGGAUGAUCUUGCUGCGGAUUAGCUUUUUGGUGGGGUAGUGGCCUUUCAAGCCGGCUACGGGUAGACGGGCUGAGAGGGUGGACGGCAACAAUGGGAAUGAGUUGCGGCCCAGACUGCAACAGGGGGCAGCAGUGAGGGAUAUUGGACAAUAGGCGCAAGCGUGAUGCAGAGAAGCCGCGUGAGGGAUGUCGGAAAUCGGGUAGUAAACUCGAUUCGCUAGGGACGAAGCUGUAUGUGACGGUACCUGGAUAAGAAGAAACGGCUAACUACGUG